UACGUAGGUGGCAAGCGUUGUCCGGAAUUAUUGGGCGUAAAGCGCGCGCAGGCGGUCCUUUAAGUCUGAUGUGAAAGCCCACGGCUCAACCGUGGAGGGUCAUUGGAAACUGGGGGACUUGAGUGCAGGAGAGAAGAGUGGAAUUCCACGUGUAGCGGUGAAAUGCGUAGAGAUGUGGAGGAACACCAGUGGCGAAGGCGGUUGCCUGGAGCUUUGCUGACGCUGAUGCGCGAAAGCGUGGGGAGCGAUCCGG
rnacentral:rRNA from 1 species